AAACCGUUCAGGGGGAAACCUGAGAAACCCGAAAGUUCGAAAGGAGAGAUUCACCGCGACUCGUGACGUCGACGAGCGCUCGGCGCGGACGCCGGUCGUACGUAAGUUCGAUCUGGCGCCGAACGAGUGCCGUUCUAACGGCGCGCGAUCGCGUGCACUUCUCUCCCUGUAGGACGUCGCGACCCGUUGGGCGUCGGUCUACGAACGACGGUGGAGCCCGCGAGACGGUYGCCUCAAAACGAUCUCCGUUCUCGCGAACCCGUCGCUUCCGGCCGGCUCGCUCGACGGUAUUGACUUAUGGGCGCGGGGCCGCGACUUAGUUCGCGUCCGGCCAGUCGCAAGCAAGUACGGCAGUUCGGUGUUCACGGCGGCCUCGUGUCUCCGUGCCCGGAUCCGGACUACUGUUCGCGACUGUGUCCUCGGACAGACUCCGUAUACACGCCCGUCGGCGACGCUAUCGCUUUGGGUACUUUCAGGACCCGUCUUGAAACACGGACCAAGGAGUCUAGCAUGUACGCGAGUCUUCGGGACUUCGUACUAAUCCUAAAAAGGCAAAAUGAAAGUGAAGGUCCGCCUUAGCGCGCGACCUAGGGAAGAUGGGAAGCGGGACGUGUCAAAGCGUCUUCUAAGCGACCCCGCACUCCCGGGGCGUCUCGAUCUCAUCGCGAGAUGAGGCCCACCCAAACCGAACACCCU
rnacentral:rRNA from 1 species